rnacentral:rRNA from 1 species
CCUACGGGUGGCAGCAGUGGGGAAUAUUGGGCAAUGGGCGCAAGCCUGACCCAGCAACGCCGCGUGAAGGAAGAAGGCUCUCGGGUUGUAAACUUUUUUUUUCAGGGACGAAGAAAGUGACGGUACUUGAGGAAUAAGCCACGGAUAACUACGUGCCAGCAGCCGCGGUAUUACGUAGGUGGCAAGCGUUAUCCGGAUUUACUGGGUGUAAAGGGCGGGUAGGCGGGAAAGCAAGUCAGAUGUGAAAACCAUGGGCUCAACCUGUGGCCUGCAUUUGAAACUGUUUUUCUUGAGUACUGGAGAGGCAGACGGAAUUCCUUGUGUAGCGGGGAAAUGCGUAGAUAUUAGGAGGAACCCCAGUGGCGAAGGCGGUCUGCUGGACAGCAACUGACGCUGAGGCGCGAAAGCGUGGGGAGCAAACAGGAUUAGAUACCCGGGUAGUC